rnacentral:lncRNA from 1 species
CCUCUUAAUUCGAAAGAAAUAAGAAUGAAAAUCCUUAUGACUACAUUAAGUGUAUAUAUGAUAUAUACUCAAGGAAAUGGUAAAGUACCAUUUGACCCGAAAUAAUGAAACCUUCAUAAGCUAAUUGGUAGCUAAGGUAACUACAAUCAAAAGAAUGGUUGACUUUGAAGAAACCAUCUUUGACGUAGUCUUGGUUUCAAUUAAUUCGAAGAUAGCUAGCUACAACUAAAUGGUGAUUCAAUGUUUGAACAUAAUAUGGGUUUCCAAAACCAUUAUUAAGAUAGUCUUAAUAAUAUAUGUCUAAAACUAUGAAUCACAAGACAUGUAAUUUGUAGAGAUCCAUCCAUCAUGAAUCUAAGCAAGCUAGUGGGAGCUAUGAGCAUUUUAUGAGAAAAAGGAUCAAAUCGUUUGAUUUCUCAUAAAGAUGUAAAUGAAUCUUUUGUUUACUAGGUUUACAAAAGAUUAGUGGGAGUUAAUCAUAUUCCUAAAAUUUAACAUAUAUAUGAUAUAUUAAUUUUGGAAAUGAAAAGAAUUCUUCUUCGUUAAAGUUAUGACUUUAAAACAUUAUAUGAAGAUAGAAUGUAUAUGGGAGAUAUAGUUUAUAUACAUGGGAUGGAAAUCUAUAAUGAUAUAUUUCAUGAUAUAAUUGGAUUAUAUCAAGCCCUAAAUAUAGACAAAAGAUGAUAGGAAGUUUCUCAUAUGAUGAUGAACUUCAAUCAAAAUGACAACUCUAGUGAGACAAAGAAGUUGCUCUUCUCAAAGAGAACGUACUAUUUGACUCCCAAAGAAAUAAUGCGUAAAUAGAAUCCUUUAUGCGUAAGCAGAAAGGUGAUUUAUGUAUUUCAUAUUGUAUGAAAAACAUUGAUAUGAGUUGUACCUAGAAAGGUACAAGACGAUAUCAGUACAAACCCAGGAUCAGAACCAUGACAACUGCCAAGUGAGUCCUUAAGUAUUUAAGAAAUACUAAAGGAUAGAUUGCUCAAUAAUUGAGGAAGAAUUAGAGUAACGUAACGGAAGUGUAAAUGUAUUAGAUUAUGAAUCUAAUCCAUCAUUGGAUGUUUCUUCAUUAUGAAUGAAGAGAUAAACAGAUAUCUCUUUAUUAUGACUAAAGAGAUAUUUGGAUGGAAACAUUAAAGUAAUGACUUUAGUGUGUUCCAUUAUGAAUGCAAAGUAUAUUGCCAUAUAGAAGCUUACAACAAUGUUGUUUGGAUGGGAAAGUUCAUUUAUGAACUCUCUAUUCGGUUCCAACCAGAAAGUGUAUCUAGUGUAUCGACACUAUGACACUAAUGGGGCGAUAGCUCAAGCCAGGGAAUCAAGGUCUCAUCAAGAUCCGAACUCAUAUGAGAGACUGAACCACAUGAUUGAGAAUCAUGUAUAAUGGUGACGUCGUUAUUCUCAAGGUUGCUUCUAUGGAUAACAUAUAGAUAUCCAUUGUCUAGGCCUACUACUCAGCCAUUUAUAAAAUGACUACAGAAGAGGUAUCAUCACUGAUGACCAAGCUGAUUGGCUCUAGUGCAAUUGGGAGAUUGUUGGAAAUGUGGCCUAAAACCAAUCAUAUGAUGAUACUUUACGGACAUUUCACAAAGUUAAACUAAUGUAGUUUAAAUAUAAAGGGCAAAGAUUAUUGUUUGAGCCGUCUCAUAUAAAUGUUAUACGCUUAAACGAUAAGUCCAAGGAAUAUGUGAUUAGGAGAAUGCAAUCUAAAGAAGUUAGAUUCAUGAGACCAUUCUUUCGUAGACACAUCCUAAACGUUCCUGAUCAUAGGAUUGCCAAAUGGGCAUUGACAGUCCGUUAAGAUCAGUACGUGCUGUGUCUUCUCUCAGGAAGAGUGACUAGUCUCGAGUCAUUGGUGUGUGUGACAUCAAGACAAGUACGUAGGUGCUCAAUAGAGAAUGAGUUCAUUGAACACGAUCAACGAAGAGUUUUCAUAUUCAUGUCAUAUGAGAACUCAUGGUUGGGAUAAUGCAAAGUAGUCCUUUGACCUGAGGCAUCACAGUUGUCUUGUGGUUAAAUCCUUGAUCUUUGAUUAUGUCAAAGUCACCCCAUCCGCUGAUGCGAAAUAUAUAAGUACACAAAUUAAACCCUCUUUUUAUCAAAUGUAGUAAAGUAUGUAAGUAGGGAUCAUUCUAGGCCGGGGAUUAGGAGGGAUUGCUAAAUCACUUGGAAACUGACUUGAAAACGUAAAAACAAAGUUUAAAACACUAAACUAGACUCAAAGAAUGAAAAACUAUACUUUAAAAUACUAAGAUAAACAAAAAAAUUCAAAACAGCAACCAAAGACUCAAAAGUGCCUUAAAAACACUUUCUGGGCAGUUUUGGGACUCUAACACAAACUUGGACGAAUUUUGGUUUUCUAAUGAACUAAGACACUUAAAAACAUAAUCUAAGACAAGUUCUAAUUAAUAUGACUCAAAGAAAUAAGAUGGGGUUGAUUUUGGACGAAAAUAAUUAAAUUAAGACAAGAACAAAGUAAACAGAUUCUUAGACAAAUUUGGGUGAAUCAAAACACUUAAAAACACAAACUAAAGUGAUUACUAACUAAUCUAAUACUUUGAAAUAAAUGGGAGAUUGGUUCUUGAUGAAUUUGAAAAUAAAACAAACUUUGUAAAACAAAACAGAUUGUAAAUGAAUUUGAAGGAAACUUAUGGAUGGAAGGCUAGCUGGGAGGUUCUUCUCCACACAUGUCACACUUGCAUACAAAACGAUUUCCAGUUGCUUUUCGAUAAACUAUGAAU